rnacentral:rRNA from 1 species
AAAAACAUCGCCUCUUGCAAAACUGAGGAAUAAGAGGUCCCGCCUGCCCUGUGACUAUAUGUUUAACGGCCGCGGUAUUUUGACCGUGCGAAGGUAGCGCAAUCACUUGUCUUUUAAAUGGAGACCUGUAUGAAUGGCAUAACGAGGGCUUAGCUGUCUCCUUUUUCAAGUCAAUGAAAUUGAUCUCCCCGUGCAGAAGCGGGGAUAACACCAUAAGACGAGAAGACCCUAUGGAGCUUUAGACACCAAGGCAGAUCAUGUUAAACACCCCUUCACAAAGGACUAAACCAGAUGAACCCUGCCCUAAUGUCUUUGGUUGGGGCGACCGCGGGGAAACAAAAAACCCCCAUGUGGAAUGGGAACACUCCUUCCUACAACUAAGAGCUCCCGCUCUAAUGACCAGAACUUCUGACCAAUCAGAUCCGGCAACGCCGAUCAACGAACCGAGUUACCCUAGGGAUAACAGCGCAAUCCCCUUUUAGAGCCCAUAUCGACAAGGGGGUUUACGACCUCGAUGUUGGAUCAGGACAUCCUAAUGGUGCAGCCGCUAUUAAGGGUUCGUUUGUUCAACGAUUAAAGUCCUACGUGAUCU